rnacentral:rRNA from 1 species
UUUGGGUCAUUUAGAGGUAGUUUAAGACCUAACAAGGUUUCCGUAGGUGAACCUGCGGAAGGAUCAUUAAAGAGUAAGGGUGCUCAGCGCCCCACCUCCAACCCUUUCUUGUUAAAACUACCUUGUUGCUUUGGCGGGACCGCUCGGUCUCGAGCCGCUGGGGAUUCGUCCCAGGCGGGCGCCCGCCAGAGUUAAACCAAACUCUUGUUAUUUAACCGGUCGUCUGAGUUAAAAUUUUGAAUAAAUCAAAACUUUCUACAACGGAUCUCUUGGUUCUCGCAUCGAUGAAGAACGCAGCGAAAUGCGAUAAGUAAUGUGAAUUGGAGAAUUCAGUGAAUCAUCGAAUCUUUGAACGCACAUUGCGCCCCUUCCUAUUCCGAGGGGCAUGCCUGUUCGAGCGUCAUUACACCACUCAAGCCAUGCUUGGUAUUGGGCGUCGUCCUUAGUUGGGCCCCCUUAAAGACCUCGGCGCGGCCACUCCGGCUUUACGCGUAGUAGAAUUUAUUCGAACGUCUGUCAAAGGAGAGGAACUCUGCCGACUGAAACCUUUAUUUUUUUAGGUUGACCUCGGAUCAGGUAGGGAUACCCGCUGAACUUAAGCAUAUCAAUUUGCCGGGGGC